AUGUACCCAUAUCUGUAUGACAAGCGGCACCCUUCUUUUAAAGAUCGGACAAAGAAGGACCGGGCUUGGGCAGAUCGGAAGCAUGUUCGGCAUGUCGAGUGUCCUUGUUGAGAAACGAUUUAAGAACCUGCGUGAUAUCUUCAAAAGGAAACAACACGACAUACGUGAAAAAACAAAGAAGUGGAGCCGGAGCAGCCGACAUUCCAACAAUAAAAUGGCCUCAUUUUGAGGCCAUGCUUGAAUUAAUGGAAGGAGAGUCUGAGCCUGUGGCCAGCCACAUCACAGCAGAAGAGGCUAACGAGAGGUGAGCAUGCACAAAAAUUUUCGGUACCAUGUGCAUGCACUUGAAGCUGUACAUGCAUGGACUUGAACCUAGAAACAUUAUUUUUUAUUACUAGGUGAUUGUACUUUGCAAAAUUAUCAAAAAUACAAGCGUGCUUGAAAGGCGGUGUUCAGGUUGUUAGCUUGCCCAAACCACUGCAUUUUUUU